UACUAUUUUUGCCUCAGUCAAAAUACCUGGUC
rnacentral:piRNA from 1 species